CCUGGAGAGGGCGGGCAGGCCCCGGCCGCCAUUUUGGGGGGGCCGAGGGCGCUCGGGGCAGGGAGGGGAAAGUUUCCGCCAGGCCCCGGCGCGGAGCUGGGCGCGGUUGGUGUGGCGGAUGGGCGCAGCGGAGGCGCUGCUGUGGCUGCUUUCACGUGCCAUCUCUUGGAGACUGUGGGAGACUUGGUGGUCGAUCUAGCUGUGGUUGGUUCCACCUCUGGUAUCUGCAGCUCGGGGAUGCCGAGAUGGGAUCAGAGACGAGAGACCUCCCCCAUCCAUCACUGACCGGAAAAGUUGCUCCCGGUGCAGCUGAGCGGUGAGCAGAGCCCGGGAGUGCGGGUGGCGCGGUGAAGGACAGCGGGAGCUGCCCGGUGCUCUGCGAGCAUCGCGCUGCCCGUGCCCGGCCGAGGCCCCAGCAGGCGCCGUCAGAGGCCGGUGAGCAAUUCCGGCCUCUCGGCCGGGCUGGGACAGGCUGGGAACCCACUGGCCAUUGUGGGGGAAAAAGGGGAGCUGCCUCCUCACCUUGUAACAGCCCUCAUUCCACUCUCUGUACUUUUGUCUGCACCUUCCACUGACUGCACUAAGUCCCCAUCAUUAAAAAUAUUAAAGAAAAAAAUUGCUUUGUCUUAGAGCAGCCAGAGCUUCCUUAGUUUUCCUCUACAUCAUUUCCUUUCCCUGGACAGAAAUUUCUAAGCGUCUAACCUCACUAAGCUUUUUUCUUCAAAAUACCAGCCUGGGCAGUGGCAGCCCUUGUUGCCACGUGCACUGUACCACCAGCUGCAGCUAUGCUGCUUCUGCAUGACACAGAGCAGGCAGCUUGUCUCUCACUUGGAUCCACAGAUUUGGCAUUUAUCAUUUCCUGGGUUUCUAUUCACUCUCUUCCUCACACUGCAGACCCCACCCAGCAGCUGGUUCAGUUGCCACCUUGGUGAGGGGCUUCUUUCUCCUCUCUUAUCAGCUCAGCUCAGUUUGUUUCCUGUCACCUCCCUCCAUCACUCAUGCUGGGUGGGUCAGGACUUUACCUCACACCCUGUGCUUUGCCUCCAGCAGCAGCUCCGUUCACCGUGCCAGUGCUGCUGGCAUCUGGUGGCACAGGAGGCUGAGGAGUGUCUCUCAGUCCUUAGUGAGCAUUUGCUCUUGUGUGCACUGCUGCACGAUGAGGAUUCACCAAAGCCUGAGGCAUGGUUGCAAUGCUUAUGUCUUGGAUUGGAAGCGUGGGUGCUGGGUUUCCAAAACCCAAAGCAGGGUGCCAGCACCACUGGUAGAAAACUCUUCCCCCAGAUGUCCCCACAAUGACUGAUAGAAAGGCUGCAUAGUUCCAAGGGAGUGUGGUGUAAGUAAUGUGGGCAGGUGUGACCAGAGAUGAUGGGCAAGGAGAGAUGACAAACACAAUAAAAUCACAAAUUAUAUGGGGAAGCAGCAGAAGCUGUCAGUGUGUCUGACAACAGAGGAUCCAUAUGGGUGUAGUAGCUUUAAACAAAUAAAAGGAACUCGUGCAUCUUAUGCACAGCUUGAUAACGUGAGAAGUGAAUGGCUCAAGGAUGCCAUGAACACCAGAGGCAUGAGAUUCAAAAGGGAUUAGCCAAACUUACAGAGAGCAGAUUUCUCUGGGGUUAUUUAAAAUGUCUAUCUGAGUCAACUUCCAGUUCCUGAGGUCCCUGAACUGACUCUUCAGGUAUUCUUGCUAUUCUGUACCCCCUCUGUUUGUAUGGAGAAUUUAAGUGAGGUGUCUGAGUUGAUCUUGCUGCUGCUGCUGACACAUGCAGUUGUAUGUCCCUCCUAAAAUUACUUGUGUGUGUGCUGCUUCUUCUGCACCAGUUCUGGCAUUUGUUCUGUUUAUCAAACUGGCAGACAACUAACUCAGAGUCAAUACUUCUGUGUCUCUAGUGAGUUGAAUUAGCCCACUGUUUUCUAAGCCAGUGGUUCUUGCUUCUCUCUGCACACCAGAAAUGGAGAUUCUCCUGUUAUUACCUGACUCCAGGUGUUUGGGUUUUAAGCAUUUAGGAGAUCAGAGUCAUUAUAAGAUCCUGAUAUUUGUUGAAUUAAUUUCUAACAGCUCCUGACUGAGCUGGAGCCCUGGUUGUGCUAGAAGCCACACAGAGCUUAGGAACAGUAUUAAAUUCACAGGAAGCAGGGAAAAAGAAACAGAAUCAUGCUUGUGUAGACAGAAGUGCUGCAUGGCUUGCUAGUCUCACAUCAUUGUCAGCAGUCUAUAUGGCAAUGUAAGUUUUGUUGGGUUUGGAGUUUUGUGUGUAUGACUGUUUCUUGUUUCUAGAAUCAGCUGGGUG